CCCAGACUCCUACGGGAGGCAGCAGUGGGGAAUAUUGCACAAUGGGGGGAACCCUGAUGCAGCGACGCCGCGUGAGCGAAGAAGUAUCUCGGUAUGUAAAGCUCUAUCAGCAGGGAAGAAAAUGACGGUACCUGACUAAGAAGCUCCGGCUAAAUACGUGCCAGCAGCCGCGGUAAUACGUAUGGAGCAAGCGUUAUCCGGAUUUACUGGGUGUAAAGGGAGCGCAGGCGGCGCGCCAAGUCUGGUGUGAAACCCCGGGGCUCAACCCCGGGACUGCAUUGGAAACUGGCGGGCUGGAGUGUCGGAGGGGCAGGCGGAAUUCCUGGUGUAGCGGUGAAAUGCGUAGAUAUCAGGAGGAACACCGGUGGCGAAGGCGGCCUGCUGGACGACAACUGACGCUGAGGCUCGAAAGCGUGGGGAGCAAACAGGAUUAGAUACCCCAGUA
rnacentral:rRNA from 1 species